GACGAACGCUGGCGGCGUGCUUAACACAUGCAAGUCGAACGGAAAGGCCCUGCUUUUGUGGGGUGCUCGAGUGGCGAACGGGUGAGUAACACGUGAGUAACCUGCCCUUGACUUUGGGAUAACUUCAGGAAACUGGGGCUAAUACCGGAUAGGAGCUCCUGCUGCAUGGUGGGGGUUGGAAAGUUUCGGCGGUUGGGGAUGGACUCGCGGCUUAUCAGCUUGUUGGUGGGGUAGUGGCUUACCAGGGCUUUGACGGGUAGCCGGCCUGAGAGGGUGACCGGCCACAUUGGUACUGCGGUACGGCCCAGACUCCUACGGGAGGCAGCAGUGGGGAAUAUUGCACAAUGGGCGGAAGCCUGAUGCAGCAACGCCGCGUUCGGGAUGACGGCCUUCGGGUUGUAAACCGCUUUCGCCUGUGACGAAGCGUGAGUGACGGUAAUGGGUAAAGAAGCACCGGCUAACUACGUG
rnacentral:rRNA from 1 species